rnacentral:rRNA from 1 species
ACCAGACUCCUACGGGAGGCAGCAGUGGGGAAUAUUGCACAAUGGGGGGAACCCUGAUGCAGCGACGCCGCGUGGGUGAAGGAGCACCUCGGUGCGUAAAGCCCUAUCGGCAGGGAAGAAACAGACGGUACCUGACUAAGAAGCCCCGGCUAACUACGUGCCAGCAGCCGCGGUAAUACGUAGGGGGCAAGCGUUAUCCGGAUUCACUGGGUGUAAAGGGAGCGUAGACGGCGACGCAAGUCUGGAGUGAAAGCCCGGGGCCCAACCCCGGGACUGCUCUUGGAACUGCGCGGCUGGAGUGCAGGAGGGGCAGGCGGAAUUCCUGGUGUAGCGGUGAAAUGCUUAGAUAUCACGAAGAACUCCGAUUGCGAGGGCAGCUCACUGGACUGCAACUGACACUGAGGCUCGAAAGUGUGGGUAUCAAACAGGAUUAGAUACCCUAGUA